AAAACCAAGCAGAAGGGAAUAACAUUCCACAGUUUCCCAAAAAACACAGAUAGGAGACGGGCAUGGGUAGCAGCAGUGAGGAGAAAGGACUUUGUCCCGAGUGACUCCUCAGUCAUCUGCAGCUGUCACUUCAGACCUGAGGACUUCGACAGGACUGGACAGACUGUCCGUUUAAGGGACGGAGUGACUCCCUCUGUAUUAUAUUUUUGUAAAUAUGACCUAAUAAUGUAAACAGUUCUGUGUCCAGGCUCCCAUGAGCGCUUUGGUGUUAUACAUAUGAGAUUAAAGCAAAAUUUUGUGUAAA